AAAUAAAAAAUAUUUCUCAAGAGUUUGGUGCUGGCUCAGCAGUAAUGCGGCUUUUUAGGAUUUAUACAUGCGAGUUAUAUAUAUUAGCGUACGGGUGCGUAAUGCGCGAGUCUAACUAAAAAAAAUAAUUAA
rnacentral:rRNA from 1 species